rnacentral:misc_RNA from 1 species
UACGUAGGGGGCGAGCGUUGUCCGGAAUUAUUGGGCGUAAAGCGUGGGUAGGGGGUCUGAUAAGUCUGAUGUGAAAGCCCACGGCUCAACCGUGGAGGGUCAUUGGAAACUGGGAGACUUGAGUACAGAAGAGGAGAGUGGAAUUCCACGUGUAGCGGUGAAAUGCGUAGAUAUGUGGAGGAACACCAGUGGCGAAGGCGGCCUCCUGGCCCAUUCCUGACACUCAGACGCGAAAGCUAGGGUAGCAAACGGG